rnacentral:tRNA from 1 species
GGGGAUGUAGCUCAGUUGGGAGAGCACCUGCCUUGCACGCAGGGGGUCGGCGGUUCGAGCCCGCUCAUCUCCACCA